GGCAGAAGAAUUGUUUUCAUUUCUGGGCUCGGUCUUUGAGUCUUUUGACUGCAUCUUGCACUAUUCUGGAUUGCUUGAGAUAGAAACAACAUUGUUUGUCUAGGAAGACGCAGAGACCCACCUUUUUCAAGGUGCAAUGAUUAGGCAAAAAAUUAUGGCAGUGAAGGCUCUCUGCUUGCUGUUCCACAUUGAGGGGUCUACAGCACAUACACCUACUGCAAACGAGAGGAAGGAAGGCCAUUCCCGCGAGGAGGAUGUGGGCCUCUGGAAUGGAUGUGAGAUGGAGUCUGGUUGGCCCGAGGACGACACUGCAGUACUGAUGAAUGGCUGGCGAGGAAGGAGUAGACGGACCAGUGGGGGCCUUGGGGGCCUGUUUUAACGUGGAAAGAUGAUAUCAUGAAGUAAGUCCUGAGCGUUUGGCCGCCGUGGGGGUGGUGAGGUGAACCUGGAAGGGGCCUUCCCAUUUUGGUUUAAGGCUUGUGGGAUUGAGGGUUUU